AGAGUUUGAUCCCUGGCUCAGAUUGAACGCUGGCGGAAUGCUUUACACAUGCCAGUCGAACGGCAGCACGGACUUCGGUCUGGUGGCGAGUGGCGAACGGGUGAGUAAUAUAUCGGAACGUGCCCAGUCGUGGGGGAUAACGUAGUGAAAAUUACGCUAAUACCGCAUACGAUCUAUGGAUGAAAGCGGGGGACUCGCAAGAGCCUCGCGCGAUUGGAGCGGCCGAUAUCAGAUUAGGUAGUUGGUGAGGUAAAGGCUCACCAAGCCCGCGAUCUGUAGCUGGUCUGAGAGGACGACCAGCCACACUGGAACUGAGACACGGUCCAGACUCCUACGGGAGGCAGCAGUGGGGAAUUUUGGACAAUGGACGAAAGUCUGAUCCAGCCAUUCCGCGUGCAGGAUGAAGGCCCUCGGGUUGUAAACUGCUUUUGUACGGAACGAAAAGGUCUCUCCUAAUACGAGAGGCUCAUGACGGUACCGUAAGAAUAAGCACCGGCUAACUACGUGCCAGCAGCCGCGGUAAUACGUAGGGUGCAAGCGUUAAUCGGAAUUACUGGGCGUAAAGCGUGCGCAGGCGGUUAUAUAAGACAGAUGUGAAAUCCUCGGGCUCAACCUGGGAACUGCAUUUGUGACUGUAUAGCUAGAGUACGGUAGAGGGGGAUUGAAUUCCGCGUGUAGCAGUGAAAUGCGUAGAUAUGCGGAGGAACACCGAUGGCGAAGGCAAUCCCCUGGGACCUGUACUGACUCUCAUGCACGAAAGCGUGGGGAGCAAACAGGAUUAGAUACCCUGGUAGUCCACGCCCUAAACGAUGUCAACUGGUUGUUGGGUCUUAACUGACUCAGUAACGAAGCUAACGCCGUGAAGUU
rnacentral:rRNA from 1 species